AGCAGCCGCGGUAAUUCCAGCUCCAAUAGCGUAUAUUAAAGUUGUUGCAGUUAAAAAGCUCGUAGUUGAAUUUCGGGAUCAGUUCGUCGGUCGUGCCUUUGGUAUGUACUGGUGUUACUGGUUCCUCCCUUCUGACGAACCGUCAUGUCAUUAAUUUGGUGUGGCGGGAAAUCAGGACUGUUACUUUGAAAAAUUAGAGUGUUUAAAGCAGGCUCGCGCUUGAAUACAUUAGCAUGGAAUAAUGAAAUAGGACGUUCGAUCCUAUUUUGUUGGUUUCUAGGAUUGACGUAAUGAUUAAUAGGGAUAGUUGGGGGCAUUAGUAUUCAAUUGUCAGAGGUGAAAUUCUUGGAUUUAUUGAAGACUAACUACUGCGAAAGCAUUUGCCAAGGAUGUUUUCAUUAAUCAAGAACGAAAGUUAGGGGAUCGAAGACGAUCAGAUACCGUCGUAGU
rnacentral:rRNA from 1 species